rnacentral:rRNA from 1 species
GUCUGCUCGCUAUAAAGAGCAGUCUGGCCUGCCCACUGAUUAAUUUUAAAGGCCGCGGUACUCUGACCGUGCGAAGGUAGCAUAAUAAUUAGUCUUUUAAUUGAAGACUGGAAUGAAAGGUCGGACAAAAAGUGAACUGUCUCAGUUUUUACUAUCUAAAUUAACUUUUAAGUGAAAAGGCUUAAAUACUCUUAAAGGACGAUAAGACCCUAUAAAACUUUAUAUAUAAAAAAAUACUCUUCGAUAUAUUCGUGAAAAGUCGUUUACUUCUUUAUAUAUUACGUUGGGGCGACGAGAGUAUAAACCUAACUGCUCUUAUAUUAUAAACAAUUAUAUUUGAUCAUUUGACCCUUAUAUAAAGAUCUAAAGAAAAAGUUACUUUAGGGAUAACAGCGUUAUUUUUUUUAAGAGUCCUCAUCGACAAAAAAGUUUGCGACCUCGAUGUUGAAUUAAAAUCUCCUUAUAGUGCAGCAACUAUAAAGGUAGGUCUGUUCGACCUUUAAAAUUUUACAUGAUUUGAGUUCAAACCGGCGCGAG